rnacentral:rRNA from 1 species
GGACUACCGGGGUAUCUAAUCCUGUUUGCUACCCACGCUUUCGUGUCUCAGCGUCAGAAGUGGUCCAGUAAGCUGUCUACACCACAGGUGUUCCUCCUGAUAUCUACGCAUUUCACCGCUACACCAGGAAUUCCGCUUACCUCUCCCACCCUCGAGCAUUCCAGUUUCCGGCGCACCCUCCCAGUUAAGCCGGGAGAUUUCACACCAGACUUGGAACACCGCCUACACACUCUUUACGCCCAGUAAUUCCGAACAACGCUCGCUGCCUACGUAUUACCGCGGCGGCUGGCAC